rnacentral:rRNA from 1 species
UACAGAGGGUGCGAGCGUUGUUCGGAAUUAUUGGGCGUAAAGAGCUCGUAGGCGGUCUGUCGCGUCGGAUGUGAAAACCCAGGGCUCAACCCUGGGCCUGCAUUCGAUACGGGCAGACUAGAGUGUGGCAGGGGAGACUGGAAUUCCUGGUGUAGCGGUGAAAUGCGCAGAUAUCAGGAGGAACACCGGUGGCGAAGGCGGGUCUCUGGGCCAAUACUGACGCUGAGGAGCGAAAGCGUGGGGAGCGAACAGG